GGUAAAUACCUAGGAGUGGAAUUGUGGAAUCAUAUGAACAAAGUCAGAGGAACCAACUGCUGGCUGUUGUUCAUUGGCUAAUUUUUGUCAAGACUAUCCUUUCUGGAACUAUUCUGGGUGUUCUCUGAAGAGUGGAGAAUGUACCCUACAAUUAGCUGGGCUUCCUGUGCCUCUGCCACAUGGCCAAGAAUUUCACCCAGAUGGUUGCCGGUCCAAGCAGUAGGAGAGAUGUGGAGCAGACCUGGGCUUAAUCUGCAGCCUAAAGCUAGGUAGGCCCAGCUGACCUAGAGACACUGGAUAGAUGUUGGUUGCUAUAAGCAUUGAAUUGUGGUUUGUUUUGUUAUGCAAUACAUUGCAGUGAUAGCUGUUAAUGCAGUGGGACUCUAAAUGGCCAAGUUCAAUCCAUGUGCUCAUUCCUGAAUUUGUUACAAUGGCUGGUACCUUAACUGGCCAGGCUUGGAUUACCUUCCACUUCUUCCUUCUCUUCCACCUCCCCAAAAAACUGAGGUUGGCUGAGGAAUGGGGUUACAGGUAUUAAAAUUUGAUCCUGUGAUAUGGGAGAAGAGUUACUCCAAAAGA